rnacentral:rRNA from 1 species
UGGGGAAUAUUGCACAAUGGGCGCAAGCCUGAUGCAGCCAUGCCGCGUGUAUGAAGAAGGCCUUCGGGUUGUAAAGUACUUUCAGCGGGGAGGAAGGGAGUAAAGUUAAUACCUUUACUCAUUGACGUUACCCGAAGAAGAAGCACCGGCUAACUCCGUGCCAGCAGCCGCGGUAAUACGGAGGGUGCAAGCGUUAAUCGGAAUUACUGGGCGUAAAGCGCACGCAGGCGGUUUGUUAAGUCAGCUGUGAAAUCCCCGGGCUCAACCUGGGAACUGCAUCUGAUACUGGCAAGCUUGAGUCUCCUAGGGGGGGGGAGAAUUCCAGGUGUAGCGGGGACAUGCGUAGAGAUCGGGGGGCAUACCGGUGGCGAAGGCGGCCCCCUGGACGAAGACUGACGCUCAGGUGCGAAAGCGUGAGGAGGAAACAGG